CGCUACGGACUUAAAAUCCG
rnacentral:tRNA from 1 species